GGUGAACGCUGGCGGCGUGCCUAACGCAUGCAAGUCGAACGAAGCCUUCGGGCUUAGUGGCGGACGGGUGAGUAACACGUAGGAACCUGCCCAGGAGUGGGGGACAACCCCGCGAAAGCGGGGCUAAUACCGCAUACGGUCUACGGACCAAAGCCUUCGGGCGCUCUUGGAGGGGCCUGCGGCGGAUUAGCUUGUUGGUGGGGUAACGGCCUACCAAGGCGACGAUCCGUAGCUGGUCUGAGAGGAUGGCCAGCCACACUGGGACUGAGACACGGCACAGACUCCUACGGGAGGCAGCAGCGAGGAAUUUUCCGCAAUGGGCGAAAGCCUGACGGAGCAACGCCGCGUGGGGGAAGAAGGCCUUCGGGUUGUAAACCCCUGUUGCGAGGGAAGAAGAUCUGACGGUACCUCGCGAGGAAGCCACGGCUAACUACGUGCCAGCCGCCGCAGUAA
rnacentral:rRNA from 1 species